rnacentral:rRNA from 1 species
AUUGAACGCUGGCGGCAUGCCUUACACAUGCAAGUCGAACGGCAGCACGGGAGCAAUCCUGGUGGCGAGUGGCGAACGGGUGAGUAAUAUAUCGGAACGUGCCCAGUCGUGGGGAUAACGUAGCGAAAGCUACGCUAAUACCGCAUACGAUCUAUGGAUGAAAGCGGGGGAUCGCAAGACCUCGCGCGAUUGGAGCGGCCGAUAUCAGAUUAGGUAGUUGGUGAGGUAAAGGCUCACCAAGCCGACGAUCUGUAGCUGGUCUGAGAGGACGACCAGCCACACUGGGACUGAGACACGGCCCAGACUCCUACGGGAGGCAGCAGUGGGGGAAUUUUUGGGACAAUGGACGCAAGUCUGAUCCAGCCAUUCCGCGUGCAGGAUGAAGGCCCUCGGGUUNUAAACGGGUCUUUUGUACGGAACGAAAGGUUUGUCUUAAUACGAUGAGCUCAUGACGGUACCGUAAGAAUAAGCACCGGCUAACUACGU